rnacentral:pre_miRNA from 1 species
UUAAUACUUCCUUCGUUCCGAAUUACUUGUCGCAGGUAUGGAUGUAUCUAGAUGUGUUUUAGUUCUAAAUACAUCCAUUUCUGUGACAAGUAAUUUGGAACGGAGGGAGUAGUUA